UGGCUGAUCCAACCCAAUAUUCUUCCUGCCCCAGGAUAAUGGCAAUGUUUUUAGUCAGUGGUGGGAGAUGUAGUGAGGGAAAGGAAUGCUUCUAGAUGUGCUUUUGCCCAGCAAGGAGAAAACACACAUUUCCAAAACUGUGAAAAAGAGAAUGCACAAUAAUUUUACUCACCACACAACAGAGAUGUUCUUGCAGAAUCACACAAAUUAAUUACAGUAUUGACUAAGCAAUCUCCAACUUCACUUUUUGAAAAAGCAAUUCUGCAUGCACAAAGGAAAAGCUGAAUAAGGGUUUAGUAAUUUAGGAUCAGCUAACAUGCUGAGCAUGGUAACUGUAUCUUACACAAGGUUUGUGCUCAGAAUACUCCUAGGCCAGCAGACCAGAAGCUUUUUCCAGUGUAAACAAAUGAAAGAGCCUGGACUCUAUCUUCUCCAGCUGAAUUAAAUGCACCAUUCCAUAGUAAGCCAAAUCCUGGACUCAGGUAAAGUAACAAAAUUGAAAUUAAUUUAUGUUGAUAAUUUGUUUAGAUUUGAAUGGUGACAACUAAAACCCUGACUUCCAUUUUCAGUAUUAAUCGUGUUUGUUAUAAUGAUGACUAAAACUAACUGAAAGUGAAGUACCAUUGUGCUGACUUUACAGAAACUUCCUUUAUUCUACUUUUCCUCCCAUGUGUUGUAUUCCCAACAAUUUAUAAAAGCUGUUGUAGUAACUGUCUUUUAUUUCCGUAUACUCUUUGCAUAGGAAACUAGUCUCAUCACCAGUCAUGAAAUGCCUCCUUUCUCUCACUUUCAUUCAUAAACCUCACAAAAUCCCACAAUCAAAUGCUUCUGCAGGAUUACACCCACCAGAUGAGGAAUUUAGACUCCUACUGACCCAGAACUAAACAUGCAAGCAGGUUCACAUCUGGGGAUUUAAAUCCAAACUCCUUUCCACAGAAAUUCAAAGAGGAUCAGAUCUGAGGUUCUGGUUUUGCACCAUUUCUAAUCCUAAUAAUUUUAACUUAAUCCAAACCUCAGCUACAGAACUAUACAAUUUUAACCAGGACACUACUGACAUAUUUGAAAGUGAAAAUAGGAAGCUAAGAAUGACAUUUGCAGCUACUGCCACCCAUUAGUAACACUCAAGCAGGCAUUUAAAGAACCUCAUUUUUCCCUCAGUCUGCUUCUGCACUAUUGUGACUACUAAUUUCAGUGGAGCUAUCCCUAACUCACUCCCAUGUAAGUGGAAAAAGGUUCCAUCUUCAAUAGAGGAACCAACAUGGCCUUAUGUAGACAGCAUUAAUUUUAAUUUCCUCUCAGUUCUUUGAAAAAAAAGGUACUUUUUAUUUAUUCCCAAGCUUUAUCUUAAAGUAAUUAUUUGCACAAGUCAUCCUCAACGAGGACUGGGUUUUUGGUUACUGAGUACAUUUUCUGGUUUAUAUUUGCCAUCAUAAGACAUCCUGGUUUUGUAGAACAACUUUUAUUAGGAAAUGAAAUGGGAUUACCAUCAGAACUUUUAGACAUUGCUGUGAUGCAGUUUGAAAUUGAGCAUAUUUUCAAGUUCACUAACUAAAGCUUCUUUCAGCCACAAGCAGGUCAAAUGUGACUCUGCAGCCAGCCACAGGACAUGGGCAGUUAGAAGUGACACAUCAGUUUUCAAGGCCAUCUGACUCAGCUUUGAUGUGAGCAAGGACAAGGUGCAGUGAUGACAGGCAGGUCCAUCACAUCAGAGCCCGGGAACAGAAGUAUCUUCACUGAACUGGUGCCUGACAAUCUGAAAUCAAAGGGGUCAAAACAUCUGACCUAUUAACAGAAAAGGAGCAGAUUGAGAGCUUGCCUGUACUGGCGCAGAAGGAUGCCAGCCCCAGCAGAAUUUACUUUUUUCUUAAGAGCAUACCAAAGCCUCCUGAAGUUCACCAGGAAUUUUGUAGCACCUGUCUGGCACACAAUCUGCUGGUCGUCUGAUUUUUCCUGUGGUUUCUCAGAUGAUGCCUUCAGGACUUGCUGUGCCCCCUGUCCCUCCCACAGGAUGGAAGCAUUUUGGUACCACCUGAGCCAUACCUCAGUGAGAAGCCCAGCAGAGCCCCACAGACACUUGGAAGAGGAUUAUGGGUCCUUUUCUAAUGAUCUAGAUACAGUCAUCACCUGCCUUGGCUUGUGACUACCUCUUCACAGACAAUCCCUGAGAGCAGUUUAUGGACAGUGCAAACAUUCAACUCCACUGAAUUUCUGUAGGGGCAAGAAAAUAAGCCCUUGCUUGGCCACGAGGGCAGCAAUAUGGUGAAAAGCAACAGCAGCCAUCCUCUGCAAUGCCUCCUGGCCUGCCCUGCUCUCCUCAAACUUUUGGAAAAGGGGUUUGCAGUUGUCUCCAGCUCCUGCAAAGAGUGUGGAGGAAGUGCAGGGCCAGGGCCUGUGGCAGGGUGAGGGGUGCAGGGUGCAGCACCAGGGGAGGCAGGCAGAGGGGAUCUGACCGCAGCCCAGGCUGUGACAGAAGAAAUUGAAAUGUAAAUUCUGCACCCUGGCAAUAAAUUUCACAGCAGCCUAAUUUUCCUAGGAAUGACGCCUUGGGCAGAGCCUGUGUGGGCAAGAAAGGGAUGGGCUUUAAAUUUUCUAGAACUCCCUAAUCCGCUUUAUCAGUCGCUUCUCCCUAAACGGCUGCUGCUCCCUGAGAGAUUUAAAGCCACAGUGGCUUCUUCAAGGCCUCUUCCUGAUUAUUAUGUUUAUUCUCAUCCAGUCAAGACAGAGAAACAUUAGCAUGUGAUUUACACUGUGGGGCCAAUCGCAGAUACCAGCACUCAAUAUUUGAAAUUCAAGCAGUAUCUACUUGCAACAAACCGGUCAAGAUCAAUUUGGAGACAAAAAGGAGGUUUCUGCCUUUUUAGAAAGGUGGUAGAGAUCCAUUGUUGAGGUCUGUCAGUCUUACCAGCACAUGCAAUGGAACUCAGAAGUAUUAAUACAUGUGCCUGUGCUAGGUUUAAUUCUUUUAAUACUUUUGUACUUUUGUUUAAGGGUUGGGUUUUUUUUCCCCUUGCAACCAUCUGCUUUUCCUCUCAUGUUUCAAGUCUUUAUAUCUAUCUGUCAAGCAGGCAGUGGAUUCAGGACAGGUUUUCAUGCCAAGGCAUUCCUUUACCUAAUGAAAACAAGUGAAUAAAACAUAAGAGAAGUAGCUUUAAAUUAAAAAUA